UACGUAGGUGGCAAGCGUUGUCCGGAUUUAUUGGGUUUAAAGGGUGCGUAGGCGGUCUUUUAAGUCAGUGCUGAAAUACUCCAGCUUAACUGGAGGGGUGGCAUUGAUACUGGGAGACUUGAGUAUAGUUGAGGUAGGCGGAAUUGACGGUGUAGCGGUGAAAUGCUUAGAUAUCGUCAAGAACACCGAUAGUGAAGACAGCUUACUAAACUAUAACUGACGCUGAGGCACGAAAGUGUGGGGAUCAAACAGG
rnacentral:rRNA from 3 species